UAAUGUGCCCCUUAGUUCGGGAUAGCCACUGGAAACGGUGAUUAAUACCGGAUACUCCUUCUUGUUAUAAGGCAAGUCGGGAAAGUUUUUCGCUAAGGGAUCAGUCUAUGUUCCAUCAGCUUGUUGGUGAGGUAAUGGCUCACCAAGGCUAUGACGGAUAUCUGGUUUGAGAGGAUGAUCAGACACACUGGAACUGAGACACGGUCCAGACUCCUACGGGAGGCAGCAGUGAGGAAUAUUGCACAAUGGAGGAAACUCUGAUGCAGCAACGCCGCGUGGAGGAUGACGCAUUUCGGUGUGUAAACUCCUUUUAUUAGGGAAGAUAAUGACGGUACCUAAUGAAUAAGCACCGGCUAACUCCGUGCCAGCAGCCGCGGUAAUACGGAGGGUGCAAGCGUUACUCGGAAUCACUGGGCGUAAAGGGUGCGUAGCCUGGCUUUUAAGUCAGAUGUGAAAUCCAAUGGCUCAACCAUUGAACUGCAUUUGAAACUGAAAGCCUAGAGUUCAGAAGGGGCAGAUGGAAUUAGUGGUGUAGGGGUAAAAUCCGUAGAUAUCACUAGGAAUAUCAAAAGCGAAGGCGAUCUGCUGGGAUGAUACUGA
rnacentral:rRNA from 1 species